AAAGGGUGUGUAGGCGGGUAUUUAAGUCAGUGGUGAAAUCUCCGAGCUCAACUCGGAAACUGCCAUUGAUACUAUUUAUCUUGAAUAUUGUUGAGGUAGGCGGAAUAUGUCAUGUAGCGGUGAAAUGCUUAGAUAUGACAUAGAACACCGAUUGCGAAGGCAGCUUGCUAAACAAUUAUUGACGCUGAGGCACGAAAGCGUGGGGAUCAAACAGGAUUAGAUACCCCAGU
rnacentral:rRNA from 1 species